AGAUGCCUCCACGCCAGUACUAUUUCCCUUGGGCAAUUCGUGUUCGUUUACAUGAAGAUAUUGUGGUCGAUUUUUCAGGUAACCAUGCUGUAUCCUUGAACUAAUGUACCUCGCUAGAUAUGGUGAAGUUUGUUUCGUUUUUGUGCGGACAGGGAGUUAGACAAAGGUAAAGAAAGCAAGGAAAUCAUGUCUGAAUGCAGCAGUUACAGUGUAGAAAAACUGAGAGAAGAGGUUACAAAGAAGAGUUGAUGCAAAUCUCAGACAGUUUUGUGACUUGCAGAGUACAUUCCCGGAAGCCACCACUGCCACAGUCAAGUCUUUCAAACAAGACAAGAAUCAAGUAAAGAAAGUUCUGAAGAAAGGUGUUUUGAUGGACAGUGACUAGGACAUUUGUAUGUUCAGUUUCAGGUACAUGUACGUGAACUGACAUAUUUUUUUUUCACUUAAACCUGAACUGAAUUAUUUCACUUGAACACAUUUUUAUGCCAUUUGCCUUUAUAUCUGUCAUUAGUAUUAUCAACAGGGCUCUGGGUAUUUUUCUUGUCGGCAGUUCACCCCAUACCUGUCUUGGCCAAUUAAGUCAUAUUACUACAAAGCAGGGUGUUCCCGUUGCAUCAUAACAUUGUCAAAGUGGCUGUGGAACCACAAGCUGCAGGUGAGUGGUUCUGCAGUAAACUUUGACA
rnacentral:lncRNA from 1 species